rnacentral:rRNA from 1 species
AAUGAACGUUGGCGGCGUGGAUUAGGCAUGCAAGUCGAGGGAGAACCCGCAAGGGGGACACCGGCGAACGGGGUAGGAUCACGUAGGUGACGUACCCCCAGGGCGAGGAUAGCCACGGGAAACUGUGGGUAAUACUCGAUAAUCUUCCCGAUCAUGAUCGAAUGGGAAGCAAUGGGUGAGAUUCCACCUGGGGAGCGGCUUACGCAGUAUCAGCUAGUUGGUGAGGUAACGGCUCACCAAGGCUUUGACGCUUAGGGGGUGUGAGAGCAUGGCCCCCACACUGGCACUGAGACACUGGCCAGACACCUACGGGUGGCAG